rnacentral:rRNA from 1 species
GAUGAACGCUGGCGGCGUGCCUAAUACAUGCAAGUAGAACGCUGAAGCUUGGUGCUUGCCCCGAGCGGAUGAGUUGCGAACGGGUGAGUAACGCGUAGGUAACCUGCCUCUUAGCGGGGGAUAACUAUUGGAAACGAUAGCUAAUACCGCAUAAAAGUCGAUAUCGCAUGAUAUUGAUUUGAAAGGUGCAAAUGCAUCACUAAGAGAUGGACCUGCGUUGUAUUAGCUAGUUGGUGAGGUAACGGCUCACCAAGGCGACGAUACAUAGCCGACCUGAGAGGGUGAUCGGCCACACUGGGACUGAGACACGGCCCAGACUCCUACGGGAGGCAGCAGUAGGGAAUCUUCGGCAAUGGGGGCAACCCUGACCGAGCAACGCCGCGUGAGUGAAGAAGGUUUUCGGAUCGUAAAGCUCUGUUGUAAGAGAAGAACGAGUGUGAGAGUGGAAAGUUCACACUGUGACGGUAACUUACCAGAAAGGGACGGCUAACUACGUG